ensembl:snRNA U2 U2 spliceosomal RNA
AUCUGUUCUUAUCAGUUUAAUAUCUGAUACGUCCCUACCCGGGGACCAUAUAUUAAAUUGAUUUUUGGAUCAGGGAGCCGGAACGGGGGCUUGCUCCUUCCACUCCACGCAUCGACCCGGUAUUGCAUUACCUCCAGGUACGGUGC